rnacentral:rRNA from 3 species
GACCAUUGUAGUCCACACUGCAAACGAUGACACCCAUGAAUUGGGGAGUUUUUGGUCGCAGGCAGGAAAAACUGGUGAUAUCGGGUUCGUCCCAUAUCUCCUUUUCUCCUUGCCUCGCCAAUAAUAUCAAAUUUACGUGCAUAUUCUUUUAGGCCCUUUUCCUCCUUUGUGGGGAGGGGUUUUGACGGGAAUAUCCUCAGCACGUUACUUGACUUCUUCACGCGAAAGCUU